rnacentral:rRNA from 1 species
GUCGAACGCUGGCGGCGUGCUUAACACAUGCAAGUCGAACGGUGAAGCUCCAGCUUGCUGGAGUGGAUCAGUGGCGAACGGGUGAGUAACACGUGAGCAACCUGCCCCUGACUCUGGAAUAAGCGCUGGAAACGGCGUCUAAUACUGGAUACGAGAAGGGUCCGCAUGGGCACCUUCUGGAAAGUUUUUCGGUUGGGGAUGGGCUCGCGGCCUAUCAGCUUGUUGGUGAGGUAAUGGCUCACCAAGGCGACGACGGGUAGCCGGCCUGAGAGGGCGACCGGCCACACUGGGACUGAGACACGGCCCAGACUCCUACGGGAGGCAGCAGUGGGGAAUAUUGCACAAUGGGCGAAAGCCUGAUGCAGCGACGCCGCGUGAGGGAUGACGGCCUUCGGGUUGUAAACCUCUUUCAGCAGGGAAGAAGCGAAAGUGACGGUACCUGCAGAAGAAGCACCGGCUAACUACGUG